CCUAUUGGAGGUGGCGCUGAUGGUAUUUUAAGGCUGGAGUUAGAUCGCCUGGGGUGCGUCACGACUGGGACCGCCCAUACUGAGUGCGCCGGUGCAGACGUGCAUUUUAUGCCCGGUUGGGUCACAGGCUGUCCACUGCAUGUCAGCCAUGAAAUCAGUGAAAAGUCUUCCUGCAUGUUAAUUCAUUAUGAGCUGUGAGCGACUAUACACUUCAUGUGGCACGAGGAAUUGCUUUGGGCACUGCUGGCCCGGGGCUGGGAGGCUAGCUAGCUAGUUUGGAGUAUUACAGGUGGUGGUGCAGUUGUGUGGAGUGCAGUGCUGCUUGGAUUCACCUCUGACUGUGUGUGUGUGCGUGUGUGUGUUACAUGAAUCCACAGAUAGGGUCUUCACUCCAUCUAGCCUGCCCCCUGCCACUGGAAAGCCUGUGUCUUUUUUAUUAUUAUUUUUUUGUUUAUUCUUUUGUUGUAUUUUCAAAUUGAUAUUUUUAUUUUGUCCAGUACACAGAGUUUCUGAUUGUGACAGUGUUUGAUGGUGACCUGACAAUUGACAUUGAUUAUCAUUGAACGUUUUAACUAAUUAUGGUGAUUUG